rnacentral:rRNA from 1 species
CUUAAAAUGAAUUGACGGGACCCGCACAAGCAGCGGAGCGUGUGGUUAAUUCGAUGCUACACGAAGAACCUUACAGGGUUUGACAUGCAAGUGGUAGGAAACCUAGAAAGGGACCGACCCUUCGGGGAGCUUGCACAGGUGCUGCAUGGCUGUCGUCAGCUCGUGUCGUGAGAUGUUCGGUUAAGUCCGCUAACGAGCGCAACCCUCGCUGUGUGUUAUAUGUGUCACACGGGACUGCCGGUCUUAAGCCGGAGGAAGGUGGGGAUGAUGUCAAGUCAGCAUGGCCUUUAUAUCCUGGGCUACACACACGCUACAAUGGCCAACACAAUAGGUUGCUAAGCCGCGAGGUGGCGCCAAUCCAUAAAGUUGGUCUCAGUUCAGAUUGUAGGCUGCAACCCGCCUGCAUGAAGAUGGAGUUGCUAGUAACCGCAGGUCAGCUAUACUGCGGUGAAUACGUUCCCGGGGCUU